rnacentral:miRNA from 1 species
UCCCCUGGAGAUCUUGUUAAAAUGCAGAUUUGUAAGUCAGGGGCGGCCCUGAGAUUCUGCAUUUCUAGCAAAUUCUCAAGUGUUGC